rnacentral:sRNA from 1 species
UGAGAGUAAAAUUAUGGCGUCACUAACGCCAA